GCUAAACGCGAAGAACCUUACCGGGGCUUGACAUCUUUCUGACCGCCUGGGAAACCAGGUCUUCUUCCUUCGGGAAGACGGAAAGACAGGUGGUGCAUGGUUGUCGUCAGCUCGUGUCGUGAGAUGUUGGGUUAGGUCCCACAACGAGCGCAACCCUUGUCCUUAUUUGCCAGCCUGUUUACAGGCGUACUUUAAGGAGACUGCCGUAGAUAAUACGGAGGAAGGUGGGGAUGACGUCAAAUCCUCAUGCCCCUUACGUCCCGGGCUACACACGUGCUACAAUGGUCUGUACAGAGGGUAGCCAAGAAGCAAUUCGGAGCCAAUCCCAAAAAGCAGGCCCCAGUUCGGAUUGGAGGCUGCAACUCGCCUCCAUGAAGUCGGAAUCGCUAGUAAUCGCGGAUCAGCACGCCGCGGUGAAUCCGUUCCCGGGUCUUGUACACACCG
rnacentral:rRNA from 1 species